CGUAGUGGUGCGAGGCACAAAGUCCUGCCUUGUUUCCUCAAGGGGAGACAGGCCACAAAGCGUCUUGCUUCCAGUUCCUUAGGAAGCUAAGAAACGCCUCGCUCUCCACAGUGCUCUUACAGCCUACUGGGAACAUCUCUGACAAAGGCCUGUGAAACACAGUUUCUUCCCAGCCUGAUCUCUCUGAACUGGAACUUCUGCUCUGCAGUGUAAUACAUUGCCCUAGAGAUGGAAGUCACAAUGGCCUGCCUGCCUUCCUUAAGAGGAGACAGGCCACAGACAGUCUCGCUUCCAGCUGUUUGGCAAGGUCAGAAAGAAGUCGCUUUCCACAGGGCUCUUACAGCCUAUUGGGAACCUCUCAUACAAAAGCCUGAAAUGCAGUUUGUUUCCAGCCUGAUCUCACUGCCUUGGAAUCUCUGCUCUAAGCCAUAUCCCACUUUACUCCAGAGAUGGAAGACACAAAGCGGUGAAUCAUUGCCACCAAAGGAGACAAGCCACAAACGCUCUUCUUUCCAGCUCUUUGGGAAGGUAAGCAACAAAUAACUCUCCACUGUGCUCUUACAGCCUACCGGGAACGUCUCUAAGAAAGAUCUGUGAAAGGCAGAUUCUUCCCAACCGUGAUCUCACUGAAGUAGAACUUCUUCUCUCCCGUGAUCUACAUUGCCCUAGAG
rnacentral:lncRNA from 1 species